GUCUACAGCCAUGCCACCCUGAACAACCCUGAUGUCUGAUCUCAGAAGCUAAGCAGGAUCGGGCCUGGUUAGUACUUGGAUGGGAGACCACCUAGCAAGACCAGAUGCUAUAGGCA
rnacentral:rRNA from 1 species